GUCCCGAGUUCAGUUCCCAGCAACCACAUGGUGGCUUGUAGGGAGCCGUCCCUGCAUUCUCCAUUACAAGAUGGCGCCUGCAUCCGGCAGGCACCGAAUGUAAACAAGAUUAUUGCGCAGGCGCUGGGUAAAUUUCCAUUCCUUGAUCUCUGCCUAUUCCGUGGCGUCAUAUGGCCGGAUGAGCUGCAGCCAAUCAUGGGGUGACAUGUCCAAGGCGGCGGUUGCCCUCCUUUAUUAGGGGACGGGCUUCUUGGUUCAGGGUCUCCGCUCUGGUAAGCUUAUGCUCUCCUCUCAAGACGCAUUAAAGCUUUCCUGCAGAAGGAUCCGAGUGUCCCGUGUAUGAUUUCUUGCUGGCGAGAAAUACAGAGAGCGCGCGGGACAUAUGGUGCCGAAACCCGGGAACAUGUGAACAUUUCCAGCACCUCGGAGACCCCUCUAACGAGGCGGAUUCAGAACUGCAGGGUGGUAAAUUCGGAGAGGAUGAAGAGAAUCCCCUGUGGAUCCCGGAAAGACUCACCCGAAGAGCCCCUUUGGACCCUCAAAAGUCGGAACUCCACCCUCUCCCCGGGAGUUGAGAGCCGCUAUUAUCCAGAUUAACUCCUGUCCUUGACGGAGGGACUGUCAUCAUGGAUUGCUUCAGCUGUCUCCUAUUUUAAGGAAAUGGGUGGGGUGGGAUUGUUUGGUGCAGCCGUUUGCUGCGGAUUGAUGUUGCUUCUCUGGCUGGUCUGUAAGCUCAGGGCUCAAACUAAGAGAGACAAGGUGGUUAUCGCCCAAGCGCUUGUAGCUUUGGAACAAGGAAGCAAUAGGCCGCUGGCCAGACAGCUCUUGCACACCCGGAGCCUGGGCUCAUUGCACAGGGUAGAGUGCCUGGCUUGAGCAGCCCAUGAGGGAUGCUGAGCAUAGGCAUCGCACAGAGUUGCCUAUUAUACAGGCUUCUCUGGGAGGUACGUUGUCCUGCAUAAGGGUUGCCUGCCCUAGUCUCCCUUUCCCAGAAAAACGGCAGAGGACAGGUCGAGAGUGCUUCGGGUCAAGCUAACAGCCUAGUCGCGACUCCCGUACACAGUCUUAAUGUUUGAUUUUGGGAAGGUUCAACCUCUGCCUCUAUCCCUCAACAUAUGGGUGACCUAUUUGCUUGUAAAAAUAUAAAGCCUUAUCAUUAAUUAAUAAAAAAAGGGGGAUCUGUAGGGAGCCGUCCCUGCAUUCUCCAUUACAAGAUGGCGCCUGCAUCCGGCAGGCACCGAAUGUAAACAAGAUUAUUGCGCAGGCGCUGGGUAAAUUUCCAUUCCUUGAUCUCUGCCUAUUCCGUGGCGUCAUAUGGCCGGAUGAGCUGCAGCCAAUCAUGGGGUGACAUGUCCAAG
rnacentral:lncRNA from 1 species